CUAAAAAUAUAUCAAGAAGUACACUGUUGGGUAAUUUAAAAACUAAUAUGUCUUGUGUUAGCCAAACAAUAGAGCAUUUGAUAAGCUGUGCACUGCUGAGAGGAUCAUUUUCAAAGGGUCAUCCACCUGCAGUACAGAAUCCACAGAUAAGAGCUUGAACUCUGCAUCGGAGUACAGCAGACAGCACCCUGUCAGCAUCCUGUAACAAAUGGAAGCGUAAAAGGUGGUCGAGUCCUGAAAAAAGUCCCUUAGUUCCGAUUCAUUUCUCUGUCACUAAAGUUAGCAGUGGGAUAUGAAGAAAAGAAGACUCUAGCCUCAGAGAGUGACAUACCUCUCCAUUGGAAGAACAACAUUAAGUCCAUUUAAGCUAACAUAUUGCAGCAGAUGAACUUAAGAGACAGGAAUUUGAGGCAGAGGGAUUUGGCAUGUGGUGGAAGUGAAGGAGUCAGAGGAGUCAAUCCGCAUAACCAUUCUGAGGAAGAAGUGUACAAUAAGACCAGACCAUAUUGAUCUGGGAAUGCUUUGGGUCUUUUUUAUGUCACUUACCAUGUGGCUUUCCACAGCAUGCAACUUUGCAGAGAGUAAAAGAAAAGCCAUCAUGAAUAAAAACACUCUCUGCUCCAUUAGACACAAGUGUUGAUAAGAAAACUAGAUGUCUGAAGGUCCUCACUAAGCGAAGCUAGAACACCACCUUUGAAUUCUUUUUUCAAUGCGUGGUUCAGCAAAUUGGAAAAAUGCACAAUAAAUAAAUAAAUAAAUAAAUAAAUAUAUCUGUUUCCUCACAUAUUUCAGCAACAGCAAAAGAGCAGGAGAAUAAAAUCUCUCUCUCUCUCUCUCUCUCUGAUAAAUACCAUCCCCCUAAAGGCAAAAAUAUCAUCAGCAGUUCUGGACACUAAAUCCCAAAUCAAUAAUAACUGGAAGUUAAAUUACUGAGCAGUUGUCUGAUUCCAUCGGAAAUAAUGUUGAUGGUCUCCAGUUCACUCCUGCAUCUCUGAACUGGUACAAGUUUGAGAACCAGGCUUCUGGAUUUGGAUACUGCAUACAGUACAAGAAGCAAGACAAUUGGAAAGUACUUUCAGUUUUGUAGGAGGGUCUAAUUUCACAUCUUACCUUCCAGUAAAACAUAUGAGCCUUCUGAGGAUGCUCUUACUUCUGUCAUUGC